ACCAAACGUGUUGGAUGUACUCGACGGAACGCGCAUAAGUGAAAUACCUGAAAAUAAAACAAAGUAAUUUUUUGUGAAGUUGAAGAUAAGUAACAAAGGUGUUGGUAUCACGAAUCACGUCGCUUAAAAGCAACAACAAAAAUAACUACGAGUAUGACAGCGCUUUCUUGCAGUCUUCAUGUACCAAUCCACCAAUAAGUGAAAUAAACCAAAAAAACAAAGUGAAAAAGUAAAAUAAUUAAACCAUUGGUUGCAAAACCGGUUAUCAAAUAGCAAUAUUAGUUGGUAAAAAUUGUGCUGCAAAAAUAAAAAUAAUAAUCACCAACGCUGAGAAAGCAAGUACAUGCUACAUAAAUAGGUCGGCGCUAGAAAGAAAG